UACGAAGGGGGCUAGCGUUGCUCGGAAUCACUGGGCGUAAAGGGUGCGUAGGCGGAUCUUUAAGUCAGGGGUGAAAUCCUGGAGCUCAACUCCAGAACUGCCUUUGAUACUGAGGAUCUCGAGUUCGGGAGAGGUGAGUGGAACUGCGAGUGUAGAGGUGAAAUUCGUAGAUAUUCGCAAGAACACCAGUGGCGAAGGCGGCUCACUGGCCCGAUACUGACGCUGAGACGCGAAAGCGUGGGGAGCGAACGAG
rnacentral:rRNA from 1 species